AUGCGGAGAGAGACGCUAUUGCUGCCAUUUCCAGGAGAAUAUCUGAAGCUUUGGAGUUGUUGGAGAAAGGGAGGGACUUUCAGGCCAGCGGUGACUUUGACACAGGUGAUUGAGAAGUACAAGGAAUUUGCAUUUUCAGACAAUGCAAGAGUAGGCAGGGCACUGACUUUGUAUGAAGUUGGCAAUAGAAAUGAUGCAAUUGCAGAGAUGGAGGAUGUUUCCAUAUCUUUGAAGGGAUAUCCAGGUACUGCAUAGAUAUCCAGGUAAACUAGAAACUUGUAGUUGAGGGGUUGAAGGUGGGAGAGAGGGGGUAGAAAUUUUCUCAUUCAAUUUGCAGAUGAUACCAUCUUCUUCGUUUCUGGAGAUAAAACAAAUGGCAGAAUUUGCUAGAUAUUCUGGAUUGCUUCAGUGCAGUGUCUGGGCUAAAAAAUUAAAAAACAGAAUGUGAGGUUGGCCUUUGGAAGAACGCAGGUCUAAGAGGUAAUCCUAGAGCUGCAAACUGUUGGAAGCCAGUGGUGGAAAAGGUUGAAAAACACUAGUUGGAAGAAAGCUUUCCUUUCGAGAGGGGGUUGUGUUUCCAAUGUAUGACAUAUUCCUGUUCAAAAUCCCAGAAGUGGUGGCAAGAAGGAUAGAAGACCUCAUGAUGGAGAAGAGAAGGCAAGAGAGGGCAUUUAUCAAGAUGGGAAGUAGUCUCUCAGCCCAAAGAAUGAGAAGGUCUGGGAGAUGCUAAUGUGGCUCAUAGGAGAAUUUUCUUGUUAGCCAAAUGGUCUGGUGAUUUCCAAUUGAAUAAAAUUUACCAUGGUAGAAAAUGACAAAAAGAAAGUAUGGGGUUCAAGAAAAUGGCUGUAGAGACUCAAGUAAAAUCCCAUGAAGGUUCAUUCCCAAUGUAUGGGGAAUUCUUAGUUGUACAAAGUUAGGAGUGGAAGGAGGUUCUGGGAGGGCAAAUGGCUGUGAGUAUGGUCCUAAAAGAUUAAUUCCGAGAUUGUAUUGCUUGUUAAGAUACUUGCAAUGAGUUGGGAUUUGGUUUUACCGUUUUAGAAGGAAUUCGUUUGACACGUGAUUGAGCAAUUGAUUUCAUGGGCAGGGGUUCUGGUGAAUAAUAUCAGAGUUGAUGCUGUGGAAGUUGGAAAUCUAGAGCGGACUUUUGUUGUAAAUCCUUUUUCAGGUUUUCAUGUGAAGAUUUUAGUGAAGCUGAAAUGGCAUGGUAUUCUCUGGCGGGGUGUUUUUGAGACGGGAAAAGGGAAAAGUUUUGUAAACUUGCAGUACUUGGUAAAUUGGCAGGAGGGGAUUAAGUUUAUAUUUGAGGAUUAUAUUUAAGUUGAUACUUGGUAAAUUGGAAAUCGCGGUUUAAGUCUAGCAAAUAUGAAGAUAUUGCCUUGGUUUGAAACAUUCAAGGCAGCAUUAACCAACAUGGAUCGUCCUACACGGCUGGCCACCUCACUAUGCACACCCAUAGUUUCAUCGAGUACUGCACAAGUUCGACUUUGAAAGGCCCUUGACCAUGCCGCUGUCACCAACUUAACUCUGAUGCUAACCGGUUUAGGAACCCAUGGAUAGUGAAGUUUGAACACAUACAAGGUCGCAUUCGUUGAACAAGCAAAGUGAGAAUAGUAAAAGUUGUUGAUAAACAAAUAGGAGGGGUAAGACCUUUUCAGAAAAUGGUGGGAGGUUAAGAUGUAACCACAAGAGAGAAGUUUCU